rnacentral:rRNA from 1 species
UCCCAGUUCGGAUUGUAGUCUGCAACUCGACUACAUGAAGCCGGAAUCGCUAGUAAUCGCGAAUCAGCAUGUCGCGGUGAAUACGUUCCCGGGUCUUGUACACACCGCCCGUCACACCAUGGGAGUUGGAAGCACCCGAAGCCGGUGACCUAACCGCGAGGGAGGAGCCGUCGAAGGUGAAGCCAAUGACUGGGGUGAAGUCGUAACAAGGUAGCCGUAUCGGAAGGUGCGGCUGGAUCACCUCCUUUCUAAGGA